GACGAACGCUGGCGGCGUGCUUAAUACAUGCAAGUCGAACGAACAGGCCCUGCUCUUGCGGGGCGCUCGAGUGGCGAACGGGUGAGUAACACGCGAGUAACACGUACUUGACAUUGGGAUAAAAUCAGGGAAAAGGGGCUAAUACCGGAUAGGAGCUCCUGCUGCACGGUGGGGGUUGGUAAGUUUCGGCGGUUGGGGAUGGUCUCGAGGCUUAUCAGCUUGUUGGUGGAGUAGUGGCUUACCAAGGCUAUGAGGGGUAGCCGGCCUGAGAGGGUGACCGGGGACAUGGGGACUGAGAGACGGACCAGACUGCUAUGGGAGGCAGCGGUGGGGAAUAUUGCGGAAUGGGCGGAAGCCUGAGGCAGCAACGCCGCGAGCGGGAUGACGGGUUUCGGGUUGUGAACCGCUUUCGCCUGUGAUAAGGCGUGAGUGACGGUAAUGGGUAAGGAAGCACCGGCUAACUACGUG
rnacentral:rRNA from 1 species